AGUGAACGCUGGCGGUAGGCCUAACACAUGCCAGUCGAACGGCAGCACAGUAAGAGCUUGCUCUUACGGGUGGCGAGUGGCGGACGGGUGAGGAAUACAUCGGAAUCUACUUUUUCGUGGGGGAUAACGUAGGGAAACUUACGCUAAUACCGCAUACGACCUACGGGUGAAAGCAGGGGAUCUUCGGACCUUGCGCGAAUGAAUGAGCCGAUGUCGGAUUAGCUAGUUGGCGGGGGAAAGGCCCACCAAGGCGACGAUCCGUAGCUGGUCUGGGAGGCUGGUAGGCCGCACUGGAGCUGGAACACGGUCCAGGGUCCUACGGGAGGCAGCAGUGGGGAAUAUUGGGCAAUGGGCGCAAACCUGGUCCAGCCAUACCGCGUGGGUGAAGAAGGCCUUCGGGUUGUAAAGCCCUUUUGUUGGGAGAGAAAAGCAGCAGGUUAAUACCCCGCUGUUCUGACGGUACCCAAAGAAUAAGCACCGGCUAACUUCGUG
rnacentral:rRNA from 1 species